AGGGGAUUUUUGGGCCCGGAUUCCCUUACCUUUUGAUCAUGGCUCAGAUUGAACGCUGGCGGCAGGCCUAACACAUGCAAGUCGAGCGGUAGAGAGAAGCUUGCUUCUCUUGAGAGCGGCGGACGGGUGAGUAAUGCCUAGGAAUCUGCCUGGUAGUGGGGGAUAACGCUCGGAAACGGACGCUAAUACCGCAUACGUCCUACGGGAGAAAGCAGGGGACCUUCGGGCCUUGCGCUAUCAGAUGAGCCUAGGUCGGAUUAGCUAGUUGGUGAGGUAAUGGCUCACCAAGGCGACGAUCCGUAGCUGGUCUGAGAGGACGACCAGCCACACUGGGACUGAGACACGGCCCAGACUCCUACGGGAGGCAGCAGUGGGGAAUUUUGGACAAUGGGCGCAAGCCUGAUCCAGCAAUGCCGCGUGCAGGAUGAAGGCCUUCGGGUUGUAAACUGCUUUUGUACGGAACGAAACGGCGAACUCUAAUACAGUUUGCUAAUGACGGUACCGUAAGAAUAAGCACCGGCUAACUACGUGCCAGCAGCCGCGGUAAUACGUAGGGUGCAAGCGUUAAUCGGAAUUACUGGGCGUAAAGCGUGCGCAGGCGGUUAUGUAAGACAGAUGUGAAAUCCCCGGGCUUAACCUGGGGAACUGCAUUUGUGACUGCAUAGCUAGAGUACGGUAGAGGGGGGAUGGAAAUUCCGCGUGUAGCAGUGAAAUGCGUAGAUAUGCGGAGGAACACCGAUGGCGAAGGCAAUCCCCUGGACCUGUACUGACGCUCAUGCACGAAAGCGUGGGGGAGCAAACAGGAUUAGAUACCCUGGUUAGUCCACGCCCUAAACGAUGUCAACUGGUUGUUGGGUCUUCACUGACUCAGUAACGAAGCUAACGCGUGAAGUUGACCGCCUGGGGAGUACGGCCGC
rnacentral:rRNA from 1 species